AGAGAUUGAACAUAAGAGUUUGAUCCUGGCUCAGAUUGAACGCUGGCGGCAUGCUUUACACAUGCAAGUCGGACGGCAGCACAGAGAAGCUUGCUUCUCGGGUGGCGAGUGGCGAACGGGUGAGUAACAUAUCGGAACGUACCGAGUAGUGGGGGAUAACUGAUCGAAAGAUCAGCUAAUACCGCAUACGUCUUGAGAGAGAAAGCAGGGGACCUUCGGGCCUUGCGCUAUUCGAGCGGCCGAUAUCUGAUUAGCUAGUUGGUGGGGUAAAGGCCUACCAAGGCGACGAUCAGUAGCGGGUCUGAGAGGAUGAUCCGCCACACUGGGACUGAGACACGGCCCAGACUCCUACGGGAGGCAGCAGUGGGGAAUUUUGGACAAUGGGCGCAAGCCUGAUCCAGCCAUGCCGCGUGUCUGAAGAAGGCCUUCGGGUUGUAAAGGACUUUUGUCAGGGAAGAAAAGGCUGUUGCUAAUAUCAGCGGCUGAUGACGGUACCUGAAGAAUAAGCACCGGCUAACUACGUGCCAGCAGCCGCGGUAAUACGUAGGGUGCGAGCGUUAAUCGGAAUUACUGGGCGUAAAGCGGGCGCAGACGGUUACUUAAGCAGGAUGUGAAAUCCCCGGGCUCAACCCGGGAACUGCGUUCUGAACUGGGUGACUCGAGUGUGUCAGAGGGAGGUAGAAUUCCACGUGUAGCAGUGAAAUGCGUAGAGAUGUGGAGGAAUACCGAUGGCGAAGGCAGCCUCCUGGGACAACACUGACGUUCAUGCCCGAAAGCGUGGGUAGCAAACAGGAUUAGAUACCCUGGUAGUCCACGCCCUAAACGAUGUCAAUUAGCUGUUGGGCAACCUGAUUGCUUGGUAGCGUAGCUAACGCGUGAAAUUGACCGCCUGGGGAGUACGGUCGCAAGAUUAAAACUCAAAGGAAUUGACGGGGACCCGCACAAGCGGUGGAUGAUGUGGAUUAAUUCGAUGCAACGCGAAGAACCUUACCUGGUCUUGACAUGUACGGAAUCCUCCGGAGACGGAGGAGUGCCUUCGGGAGCCGUAACACAGGUGCUGCAUGGCUGUCGUCAGCUCGUGUCGUGAGAUGUUGGGUUAAGUCCCGCAACGAGCGCAACCCUUGUCAUUAGUUGCCAUCAUUCAGUUGGGCACUCUAAUGAGACUGCCGGUGACAAGCCGGAGGAAGGUGGGGAUGACGUCAAGUCCUCAUGGCCCUUAUGACCAGGGCUUCACACGUCAUACAAUGGUCGGUACAGAGGGUAGCCAAGCCGCGAGGCGGAGCCAAUCUCACAAAACCGAUCGUAGUCCGGAUUGCACUCUGCAACUCGAGUGCAUGAAGUCGGAAUCGCUAGUAAUCGCAGGUCAGCAUACUGCGGUGAAUACGUUCCCGGGUCUUGUACACACCGCCCGUCACACCAUGGGAGUGGGGGAUACCAGAAGUAGGUAGGAUAACCACAAGGAGUCCGCUUACCACGGUAUGCUUCAUGACUGGGGUGAAGUCGUAACAAGGUAGCCGUAGGGGAACCUGCGGCUGGAUCACCUCCUUUCUAGAG
rnacentral:rRNA from 2 species